rnacentral:tRNA from 4 species
GCCCGCGUGCUGAAACUGGUAGCCGGACCGGACUUAAAAUCCGGGGCCUUCGGGCGUGUCGGUUCGAGUCCGACCGUGGGCACCA